AGAGUUUGAUCCUGGCUCAGGAUGAACGCUAGCUACAGGCUUAACACAUGCAAGUCGAGGGGCAUCAGUUUGGUUUGCUUGCAAACCAAAGCUGGCGACCGGCGCACGGGUGAGUAACACGUAUCCAACCUGCCUCAUACUCGGGGAUAGCCUUUCGAAAGAAAGAUUAAUAUCCGAUAGCAUAUAUUUCCCGCAUGGGUUUUAUAUUAAAGAAAUUCGGUAUGAGAUGGGGAUGCGUUCCAUUAGUUUGUUGGCGGGGUAACGGCCCACCAAGACUACGAUGGAUAGGGGUUCUGAGAGGAAGGUCCCCCACAUUGGAACUGAGACACGGUCCAAACUCCUACGGGAGGCAGCAGUGAGGAAUAUUGGUCAAUGGACGCGAGUCUGAACCAGCCAAGUAGCGUGAAGGAUGACUGCCCUAUGGGUUGUAAACUUCUUUUAUAUGGGAAUAAAGUUGUCCACGUGUGGAUUUUUGUAUGUACCAUAUGAAUAAGGAUCGGCUAACUCCGUGCCAGCAGCCGCGGUAAUACGGAGGAUCCGAGCGUUAUCCGGAUUUAUUGGGUUUAAAGGGAGCGUAGGCGGAUUGUUAAGUCAGUUGUGAAAGUUUGCGGCUCAACCGUAAAAUUGCAGUUGAUACUGGCAGUCUUGAGUGCAGUAGAGGUGGGCGGAAUUCGUGGUGUAGCGGUGAAAUGCUUAGAUAUCACGAAGAACUCCGAUUGCGAAGGCAGCUCACUGGAGUGUAACUGACGCUGAUGCUCGAAAGUGUGGGUAUCAAACAGGAUUAGAUACCCUGGUAGUCCACACAGUAAACGAUGAAUACUCGCUGUUUGCGAUAUACAGUAAGCGGCCAAGCGAAAGCAUUAAGUAUUCCACCUGGGGAGUACGCCGGCAACGGUGAAACUCAAAGGAAUUGACGAGGGCCCGCACAAGCGGUGGAGCAUGUGGUUUAAUUCGAAGCAACGCGAAGAACCUUACCAAGUCUUGACAUCCUUCUGACCGGACAGUAAUGUGUCCUUUCCUUCGGGACAGAAGAGACAGGUGGUGCAUGGUUGUCGUCAGCUCGUGUCGUGAGAUGUUGGGUUAAGUCCCGCAACGAGCGCAACCCCUAUCCUCAGUAGCCAGCAGGUAAAGCUGGGCACUCUGUGGAGACUGCCAGGGAUAACCUGGAGGAAGGUGGGGAUGACGUCAAAUCAUCAUGCCCCUUAUGACUUGGGCUACACACGUGCUACAAUGGCGUAAACAAAGUGAAGCGAGAGUGUGAGCUUAAGCAAAUCACAAAAAUAACGUCUCAGUUCGGAUUGUAGUCUGCAACUCGACUACAUGAAGCUGGAGUCGCUAGUAAUCGCGAAUCAGAAUGUCGCGGUGAAUACGUUCCCGGGUCUUGUACAUACCGCCCGUCACACCAUGGGAGUCGGAAAUGCCCGAAGUCGGUGACCUAACGUAAGAAGGAGCUGCCGAAGGCAGGUCUGAUAACUGGGGUGAAGUCGUAACAAGGUA
rnacentral:rRNA from 1 species